GAAAUAGCAUAUUUGUUAGAUGAAAUCCGGCGAGAAAACGAUUUUUGCAAGCGAGACGCUGUCUCCACAUGCUGGGGAGCUGAUCCCGAGCUCGACGAGUUCAUGGAAACCUAUUGCGAUGUGUUGAUGAAGUAUAAAUCUGAUCUUGAAAGGCCUUUUGAUGAAGCGACCACCUUCUUGAACAAGGUUGAAAUGCAGCUCCGCAAUCUGUGCACGGACGCCUCCAUUAGAAGUCCCUCUGGUGUGUCUCCU
rnacentral:misc_RNA from 1 species